CAAGUUCAAACAAAAAGUGUUCAAAUCUAGAAUAUGGCAGGUGCCAUCUUCCAAUCAACAAGGCGUUGAAACCUUUCCCAAAGAAGUCAGGGACGAGAUAACUUGAGACAGUACAUUCCUGGAUUUAAGGAAGGCUGGUGUUAUUUGCCAUCAAUCAAGGCCAGAUAAGUAUCCUAGAGAAUGGAAUUCAGCAAGAAAGUUCUAGACUAAGUGAGGAUCCUUCUCUACGUUGAGGACAUUGAGUCACUACAGAUGUUUGGAGAAGAAUGGAUACUACUAGGGCAUUUUCUAGUUUUGGAUCAUGCUUUAGCUGCACUUCCACAAAC